rnacentral:rRNA from 1 species
GAUGAACGCUGGCGGCGUGCCUAAUACAUGCAAGUCGAGCGAACGGACGAGAAGCUUGCUUCUCUGAUGUUAGCGGCGGACGGGUGAGUAACACGUGGAUAACCUACCUAUAAGACUUGGAUAACUUCGGGAAACCGGAUCUAAUACCGGAUAAUAUUUUGAACCGCAUGGUUCAAAAGUUAAAGACGGUUUUGCUGUCACUUAUAGAUGGAUCCGCGCUGCAUUAGCUAGUUGGUAAGGUAACGGCUUACCAAGGCAACGAUGCAUAGCCGACCUGAGAGGGUGAUCGGCCACACUGGAACUGAGACACGGUCCAGACUCCUACGGGAGGCAGCAGUAGGGAAUCUUCCGCAAUGGGCGAAAGCCUGACGGAGCAACGCCGCGUGAGUGAUGAAGGUCUUCGGAUCGUAAAACUCUGUUAUUAGGGAAGAACAGAUGUGUAAGUAACUGUGCACAUCUUGACGGCACCUAAUCAGAAAGCCACGGCUAACUACGUG